UGCGUGGAUUAUAAUAGCCUACAUUUGUAUUCUCUUUAAAAAAUAAUGAUUAAAAACUGGAUUGAAGAGACAUUCAGUGACACGCAAAGUGCAGAACUUUUCUUUUUAGAGGCCCACCCAUCAAAUACAUUCUUCCUCCGUCACUGAUGCAUUUUAAUUUACCAUUUUAUUUUUUUUCGGACAACCUUUUCGGGAAUAAAUGGAGGUAAGAAAUUUAAGACUUGGGUUAAUUAAAUUUAAGACCUAGGGUGAAAAUCUGGCCAUUUUUAAGACUUUUUAUGGCGUUAAAUUUAACUUUCUAAAUUUAAGACUUUUUAAGACCCCGCGGGAACCCUGAUAUAAUAGCUUCGUCCAUUUUGGCCAGUGUGAAGCGCAUGAACCCUAUUACGCAUGCGCAAUGUUUCAGACGUAUGGCAAGUGUAAACACGCAAAUCGGAUAUGCGUCGCAAUUGAAAGAACGUGUAAACGCACAGUAAAAAAAAAUCGGAUAUAGGCAACAAAUCAGAAUUGGGCAUCAAGAUUUGCAAUGUAAACGAAUGGGCUCUUCGUUAAAAGCCGCCGCAAUAUGCUCCCACCAGUUGUGAGAUCUCUCUCGCGGCUGAGAUCACGCCUCAUCAGGCCCAGACGCCAUCAUCCUCUCAGGUAGAUUUCACCAAAGCCCUAAACUUUAUUAGUGAUAAUUUAAUUAAGAAUUUCAUUUCAUUUAUUAAAUCUUUGAUUGUUUUAUUUACAGCAAAAUAAAGCAGACGCUGCCGUGGCCGACUGUUCUUCUGUCUCACAACAUUCAACUAAUUACAGUCAGCCAAUCCGGCAAGUGUCUCCUCCCGCCUCUCCUCCUCAGCGUCCCGCUCUCAAGCGUCCGGCUCCUUCUUCACAGGUAGAUGUAAACCGAAGCCUUUAGCAGAACUCAAUGUUCAUUUCAAUUUGUUUUAAUAUAUGUAUAUUUAAUCUUCAGGAUGUUCAAGAUGAGAUGGAGCCGCCGCCAAAGAGGGCCAGACUAAAUGGGCUGUCGGCUGAGAUCACGCCUCCUCAGGCCCAGACGCCACCGUCCUAUCAGCAAAGUAAAGCAGACAGUGCCAUGGUCGACUGUUCUUCUGUUUCACAACCUUCAACUAAUAACAGUCGGCCAAUCCGGCAAGUGUCACCUCCCGCCUCUCCUCCUCAGCGUCGCGCUCUCAAGCGUCCGGCUCCUUCUUGACAGGAUGUUCAAGAUGAGAUUGUGCCACCGCCAAAGAGGGCCAGGCUGUGUUUAGCAGAAACAGAUUUGAAAUCUCAACAUUCAUCUGCUGAUGGGCUGUUGGCUGAGGUCACGCCACCUCAGGUCCAGUAGUUUAUCAAAGUCUCUCUCAAUUCAUCUGUAACCAGUGUAGUGUAACGUUUAGCUGUGUUUAAAAAAAAUUUACAGUAAAGUUAAAUGUUAGUAGAAACGGUUCUUACUGUAUCUUUAUUUGUAUGUGUAAACUUUUACCUCCUCAUGGUCAAGUUUGUCCUCCCUCCCCUCCUCCUCAGCAUCGCUCACGCAAGCGUCCGGCUCCAUGCAGUGUUGCCAACUCUUUUCAAUGGAAAGUAGCUAAAGCUUGCUUGGAAAGUCGCUAAAUUACGUCAUUGCGUCAUUAUCAUAACCGUGACAUCAUCACGUCGUAUUUGCAUUCUUGCUACAUUGGCUUUUUAACGUUUCUCUUUCUCUAUGAACGGUCACUAAUGUAAUUUUAAUACACAGGAUUGCAUAAAAAUGUUUUCUCGUUCAUUUAUCUGCUUCUGUUCUCAUGGAACGAAAUAUAUUCAUGAUACAAAAAGCAGAAAAAUGCUGGAAGUGCUUCUCGGGUGUAAAAAAGUGUGUAAAUACCUCCGGUGCUCUUCAGUGGAGGGAUCCACAUAUAUUUUAAAAUAGGGUCUGAGGCACUCAGGAGGAUAAAGAUUAAAAAGCCUUUAUUAAUACAUGGCUAAGUAGAAUAAAAAC